rnacentral:sRNA from 1 species
CAAUGUUGAAAAUUUGAUUGGAUUCACUUUAACUACUUUUCCGAGGACUGGUGAAUCAUUUUAUUUUCAAGACAAAAAUGUAGCAGUUGAAAAGAAAAUUUAUCGAUUGUUAGAUCCAAGAAAGAAUAUAGUUUCGAAUGUAACAAUAACUAGGAAAAAUUACCUAAAUAUUUGCGAAGUUGAAAUUUAUGGGGAAUGUCCAACUGGAACCUGGGGAUUAGCCUGUACUAAUUGCUCUCAAGACUGCCCUAAUGAAUGUCAUGUGGAAGAUGGACGAUGUGUCAAUUUAUGUCUGGGUUUUACUAAUCCUCCAUCUUGUGAUCUACCAUGUGAAAAAACAGAGUAUGGUAUUAACUGCACUAAGCAUUGCUCCGACAACUGCAAAAACAACGAAUGUGACUCUCAAACUGGUGAAUGUCUUGAAUGUAGUGGAAAUGGAACUUACUCAGGAACUUGUGAUAAACGUAAAUUAUUUUAAUUUUAAUCUGAUAAUACGCUAAUUUAUUUAAUUUUUCAUUUAUUUAAAGU